GGACGGGCAGAGGCGUGUGCGGGCUCGACGCAGCCUCGCCGAGGGUCUGUCCUGGGGCCCAUUCCGUGGGAGCAUCCGGAGUGGAGCCUCGUCCCCCGGGCAGGUGGAAACGAUGAGGAAGCCGAUGCUCCAAGAACUUGAGGGACUUGGCCAUCAGCAGGGUCAGAUAGCAGAGGGAGAAUCGGACGGUGUCUGCCCGCCCCUGGAGCCCCUGCAGACUCCCUCGCAGGCGCCGAGUGUCCAGACACACCGUACAAGAUGAUUGAUUUCUUAAAGAUACGUGCGCCUUUCUGAUACUUCAUUUAUUGUCUAAAUAUUUUUACUAACAUUUCAGCGGGCCCCUUAUCGAGCUCAGCCGAUGCGUCCCAGUUCUUUCCCCCAGCACCUCCUGCCCCAGUGCGUCCUAUCAGCCACGAGGCAGUUUGUCUCUGCUGUUUAGAGAGGGAGGCGGGAAGGGCGCCAUGGGGGAUGGUGACCCUUCCCACUGGCUGGGGGGUGCUUGCAGGCAGGAGUCAGGUGGUUUCCCCCACAAUCCCCACACACGGGACACUGGGGGCGGGAGCCCCAGGAAGGACGGACAGCACAGAGCCUGGCCAGGGUUCGAGAGUCAGUGCCAGCAGCACCAGUCUGCUCUGUGACCUCCAGCAGGUCCCUCUCUGAUCCAGCUUGCAGUCAAAUACAGAAGAAAUGCUCAGGAUGGGUGUGUGGGAUGGAGGGGUGGGUGGGUGGUCAAUGUGUGGGAUGGAUGCUGGGUGGGUGGAUGGAUAGCAGGUGGUGGACGGAGAAGCCACACUGGCAGAGGAGGCCACGCAGACCUGGGUCUGGUCCCGUGCGCACAGCCGCUUCUCGCGCCUUUGGCCCCUUGUUCACCUCUGUGAGACUCAGUGUCUCUCCUGUGAAACAGGUUCUUCACAGGGUCUGGGAGAGAUGAAAGGAACAAAGGCAGAAAUGCCAUUGCCUCCGGUGAGGGGAACAGACUGAGCUGUGAGGAUGAACUGGGGGUCCCGGGCAGAGCCCACGCCGGGCCUACCACAGUCCAAGCCCUGACCUCCUGUGAACCUGCCCCACAGUGACCUGGGGGAGCCCAGGCAGCUCCCCGACCUUCUGCAGGGCUGCCUAGCUCCCUGGGCCGCCCCACUCCCACCCCAGAACAGGGCCCCCACCAUCCGUCGGUGCUGACCCAUGAGAUGCAUGGCGAGGUUUGGGAACAGCCUCAGAUAAAGUUGUCACAACGGAUGCGGUGGAGAUAGGGUUUCUGAUGGUUAUCAGCGGGCACAGAAUCCAGACACCGACCUCUUUGUUGGGGGAAACAAGGAGCAUUCUCAGAUGCACCCGGAGAAUUUAAAGUGGCUGCCCGUUAUCCCAGCCCUGGGUGGGGCUGGCCUGGAGCCAGGAGGGAGAGACAAACCACCCUGGGGGGCUGCAGGCAGGGCAGAGAGAGGGGCAUCUUGCUGACCCCAGACAUGGCCUGUCCAGAGCCAGCUGGACUCAGAUGGGGCACCAAGCCUGGCACUGCCCCUGAAGGGGAGGCGGCACACACAUCCGUGGUAGUUUUGGAGGAAGGGCCUGGUGGGGAAGCUAUAAACAGCAACUUCCAGGCUUGCCUGUUGCCCAUGGGCUGAGCAGGGCCAGGAAGGGGGCCCCUGCGCCUUCACCUGAGAAAAGGGCUUCAGUUCCAGGGCUACUCAGAGUUGGGGAGAAAGAAAAAAAGCAGGGAAAAAAAGUAAAUAACCAGGCAGCCUGGCGCUGUGUCAGCCCCUCCACAGGGGAAGAAGAGAAUCUGCUACUGACCAACAUCCUUAGCUUCCAGGGGGGCAGAGAGGUGGGCUGUGGG